rnacentral:rRNA from 1 species
UCAAGAAUAUUCCUCAAUGGCCGAAAGGCUGAAGGAGCGACGCCGCGUGUAUGAUGACGCCCCUCGGGGUGUAAAGUACUUUUAUUUGGGACGAAUUAUUGACGGUACCAAAUGAAUAAGGGGUUGCUAACCUCGUGCCAGCAGCAGCGGUAAUACGAGGACCCCAAGCGUUAUCCGGAUUUACUGGGUGUAAAGGGUACGCAGGCUGUUUGUCGCAUCUCCUGUCAAAUUUCAGGGCUCAACCCUGGGGCUGCGGGAGAGAUGGGCAGACUAGAGGCCGGAAGAGGUGCGCGGAAUUGCUGGUGUAGGGGUUAAAUCCGUUAAUAUCAGCAGGAACACCAAAUGUGGAAACAGCGCACUGGAACGAGCCUGACGCUCAGGUACGAAAGCGUGGGGAGCA